rnacentral:lncRNA from 1 species
GUUUAGACUCAGUUAAGACCCUUACUGCUAAACACAAUGCGUUCCCUUCAUAUGUAUUGUCUGCUUUUAAGUGGUAGUGUUCAUUGUAAAAAUCAUGUUAUUUGCUUCUUCAUCUAGACUUUACCUUCAUUUAAACUCUCGAGAAAGCAGUUCACUGUUUAUGAAAGUAAAGACUUAUUGCUAUGUGAAUGAGAGUAAGACACAGAGCUUUCGUUCCCUCUAUAAGCUUUUUUUUUUUAAUUCCCUUUUGGAUUUGGAGAGAGAUCUCUUACGCUGACCAAGCAUGUACUUGUACAUGUGUGGUGCACUACCUGCAACAACCAUAUUAGUCAUGGAUCAGAAGUGAACAGGUUCAUGAGAUAUGAUCUAACAAAGGUCCAGCUGAGUGUGUGUACCUGGGACACAGAAUGCAAGGACGAGUAUUUUCCGACUAAUAAAUCCUACUUUAUAUAUUUUUUCUUUUUUUGCUAAAUACUUUAUAUCUUUCUAUCAUGCAUUGUUGUGAGAAAUGAAGAACAACAAUAACUAACAAUGGUAAAGACGACAACCACUUUUGGGUGGUUCGAUUGGUUCUGGUUCUAAAAUGUGUUCUUGUUCUUGUUUGUGGGAUUUGCACUAAGAGAAAAAUGCUCUCUUCUCCGCAUCUCUCCCAGCCAAUGAAUGGACUCAAAGACAUCGUCGAGACACGAAGCUUUAAGGUUAUACCUCACCUGUCUCUGUUUUUCUAAUGUCUUCGUUGACUUUCUGCGCUUGAGAUUAGCCUACUCAUUAACUAUAUGGAUUUUAGUCUAAUGAUCCGGUUGUAAAAAAAAACAAUCACGCUUUCGAUUCGAUUCAGCUUGUUAGCAAAUGGGUUUCUUUAAUUGCAUAAUAUGCUUCUUGUAAUCUGUAAAAGCAUUCAACUUUAAACAGGAUCUUGAUUACUUGUAUACGCAAAUUGAAAUAAAGAAAUUGCAUCUUUUUGCCAAUAGAUCAGCAGAGUUCAUAUGUUCUAACAUUUGGUGAAGUACUUAAGCUACAUCAUUAUGGAUGCGUGUAGCGUAACAUUUCCACUGUGUUUAAUAUCACACAACUAGUGAAUAUUUCUGAAUAUAAUUCUGAUACUAAAGUGUGUUACAGGCAUGGCUCUUAGAUCAGUAUGGAGUCCUUCACGAUGGCAAACAACCUUACCCCGGCGCAAUCUCAACUUGUACGUUAUAUCAUCUCUUACUUAGUUCUUACCUUUAGCUUGUAGCUAUUAUGAGUAGGGUGAUUCCAUUAUAAUGUAACAUUUGUGCAAUAUUUAGAUUGGACUUGGCUUCAGUGUUGGAUUUAUAUGAUAUAGAGAGAUAUGAUUUGAUUUCUUCUUUCAGAUUUGUUAAGUCUAUGUGUAGUUCUCUGCAUCAUUACUCAUUUAAAUUUUGUUUUUUAUUGGCGAUUGCAGUAAAGAAUCUAGCAACGGUAGGUGCCAAGAUCGUGAUCAUAAGCAACUCCUCUAGACGUGCUUCAACUACAAUGGAAAAGCUCAAAGGCCUUGGCUUUGAUCCUUCUUUCUUCACUGGAGCUAUAACUAGCGGUGAACUAACCCAUCAAUCUUUGCAGAGGUUAUAUCACCAACAACUUCUUUGUCUUCUUUUUAGUAGAACCUACUGAUAAAUGUCUUUUACAGGAGAGAUGAUCCUUGGUUCGCUGCACUAGGAAGGCGUUGUAUUCACAUUACUUGGAAAGAUCGAGGAGCAAUCUCUUUGGAGGUUAUUUACCACCUUCUUUCUUUUUUGGUUUAUGGAUGUUGGUAUUUUAGGUUUGGACGAACUGAAUAAGAUUCGGAACCGAAUGAAUACCCAAAUUUCUAUAAUAUAAUUUAUAUAUUUAUAAAGAUUAACUUUAUUUAGUUUCAAAAUAAUUAAAUAAUUCUAAAUACUAUUUAUAAACCAAAAUACCAAAAAAAAAAAAACAAAUUACUUUAAUACUUUUUUAUCCGAAUUAUCCAAUUUUGUAGCUGAAACCAAAAAGAUCUGAUAUUUAAUCUGAAAACCCUAGUUUUUGUACUUUUUAACAUGAAUUAACCAAGAAAACGGAACCCAACCAAAACCAAAUGGGAUCCAAAUUAUCUCGGUUAUUAGGUAGUUCCUAACUUUGUUACUCGAACUGAGAACCAAAAUAACUAAACCGGUUCAACCGAUACAAAGAACUGAAUGCGCAGGGCUAACGUAUUUGAUGUAGUUUUCUGUUUCAGGGUCUAGAUCUAAACGUUGUGGAGAAUGUGGAAGAAGCUGACUUUGUUCUAGCGCACGGCACUGAAGCCAUAGGACUUUCUUCAGGAGGUGUAUCCCCCACGCCUCUCGACGAGCUUGAGAAGAUCUUGGAGAAAUCCGCAGCUAAAGGACUCCCAAUGAUCGUUGCCAAUCCAGAUUACGUGACCGUGGAAGCAAACGUUUUCCACAUCAUGCCGGGUACACUAGCUGCCAAAUAUGAAGAACUUGGAGGAGAAGUGAAAUGGAUGGGGAAGCCUCACAAGAUGAUCUAUGAGUCUGCUAUGGCGAUUGCGGGAGUUGAUAAUCCGGAGGAGGCUAUAGCAGUGGGAGACUCGCUUCACCAUGAUGUAAAGGGAGCUAAUGUUGCGGGGAUUGAGUCGGUGUUUAUCACUGGUGGGAUUCAUGGUAGUGAGCUUGGUCUCACUUCUUUUGAUGAAACUGCGAGUUUAGACUCAGUUAAGACCCUUACUGCUAAACACAAUGCGUUCCCUUCAUAUGUAUUGUCUGCUUUUAAGUGGUAGUGUUCAUUGUAAAAAUCAUGUUAUUUGCUUCUUCAUCUAGACUUUACCUUCAUUUAAACUCUCGAGAAAGCAGUUCACUGUUUAUGAAAGUAAAGACUUAUUGCUAUGUGAAUGAGAGUAAGACACAGAGCUUUCGUUCCCUCUAUAAGCUUUUUUUUUUUAAUUCCCUUUUGGAUUUGGAGAGAGAUCUCUUACGCUGAC